GACGAACGCUGGCGGCGUGCUUAACACAUGCAAGUCGAACGGAAAGGCCCUGCUUUUGUGGGGUGCUCGAGUGGCGAACGGGUGAGUAACACGUGAGUAACCUGCCCUUGACUUUGGGAUAACUUCAGGAAACUGGGGCUAAUACCGGAUAGGAGCUCCUGCUGCAGGGGGGGGGUUGGAAAGUUUCGGCGGUUGGGGAUGGACUCGCGGCUUAUCAGCUUGUUGGUGGGGUAGUGGCUUACCAAGGCUUUGACGGGUAGCCGGCCUGAGAGGGUGACCGGCCACAUUGGGACUGAGAGACGGCCCAGACUCCUACGGGAGGCAGCAGUGGGGAAUAUUGCACAAUGGGCGGAAGCCUGAUGCAGCAACGCCGCGUGCGGGAUGACGGCCUUCGGGUUGUAAACCGCUUUCGCCUGUGACGAAGCGUGAGUGACGGUAAUGGGUAAAGAAGCACCGGCUAACUACGUG
rnacentral:rRNA from 1 species